rnacentral:rRNA from 1 species
GUGAAAGCUGGCGUCUUCGGCGUCCGCAUUGUAAUCUCAAGAAGUGUUUUCCGCUUCGGACCAAGCCUAAGUCCCCUGGAAAGGGGCAUCAUAGAGGGUGAUAAUCCCGUACAUGGCUUGGAGCGCCCGAGGCUUUGUGAUACGCUUUCUAAGAGUCGAGUUGUUUGGGAAUGCAGCUCAAAAUGGGUGGUAAAUGCCAUCUAAGGCUAAAUAUUGGGGAGAGACCGAUAGCGAACAAGUACAGUGAUGGAAAGAUGAAAAGAACUUUGAAAAGAGAGUUAAACAGUACGUGAAAUUGCCAAAAGGGAAGGGUAGGAGGUCAGAGAUGCGGCCUGGGAUUCAGCCUUGCUUUUGCUUGGUGUUUUUCCCAGAUUGCAGGCCAACGUCGGUUUUGGGCACUGGAGAAGGGUAGGAGGAACGUGGCACCCCUCGGGGUGUGUUAUAGCCUCCUACUGGAUACAGCGACCGAAACCGAGGACAGCAGCGUACUCGCAAGAGCGGGCCUUCGGGCACCUUUACGCUUAGGGCGUUGGCAUAAUGGCCCUCUACCAUCCGUCU